GCCGCUGCAGCGAUACGUAAUCAAAGUGAAUUGAUAAAGUGAUGAUUAGUAUUACACCUGCAGGAGGAAGACACUGAAAUCAGAGAAGCAUUUUAUAUGUGG